rnacentral:misc_RNA from 1 species
GCCUUGCAAGAGUAAAAUAAAUGCAUGCAAGUUAUCUGAGACAGCACUAGCCUUUAGCUGCCUCAACUUCCUUUUUACAGAUUGGUGCAGGUGAGAGUCCUGAUGAUACAACCCUUAUUUGCUCCCGCGGCUCAGACAGUGCAUUGGAGUUCAUGUCCACGUGUAAGCUGGCUAAUUUGACUGUGAGGACAGAGCUUGGUUGCUGCUUGCUUCAUAGAAGCGGGAAGCUCACAGUUGAUGGGUGCAUUCUUCAGUGCGAGUCGAACCCUCUUGACCAUCUCUCCUAUGCAAUUAUCAGUACUGCUGGUGCGGCUGAAGUCAUCCCCUCAGCACUCAAAACUUGUAGUGAUGCUGUUUCGGUUCUGAAAACUCAAAUUGCAGGAGGUGCCAAAGCUGUCCUAACCAGUGGGACACUUUCAUUGCAACGAGUACGAGUCAUUUAUACUCGCACAUCACUCUUCUUCUGGUUUGAGGUAGAAGGCAGCGACAAAAAUACAGUGCAAUCUGCACCUGUUGAAUUGCCAAUUAGUUAGUCAAUCUGCCGUUCCAUUCCAUUUAUUGUAUCCUUUCUGUCACCUAUCUUGAUAAAGAGGAUUGGUUGUAACAUAUUGUUCAAAUUAUGUACUCGGUUUUACUGUAUCAUUGUGCAAG